UCACACUGUCAUAAAAUAACCAGAUCUGAGUCACAUAUGGGCAAAAAAAUCGGAUUAGGGUCACAUUGGCCUGCAGUCUGAACGUCGCCUUAGACAUCAGCUACGACAGAAGAUACAGUUAUUGACAAAAUCCCAGAAAAUACAGAGAUAUUUUGUCACCCUCGCACACCCCCUGUUCCUGUUUUUAUGUUUAAAAUCCCCCCUCUGGAAAAUAAAGCUUCUAUUUAUUUGUUUUCCAUAAAUCCACAGACGCAAAAAAAAACAACUAACAGAAGCUGAAAGUGACGGAGAGCAGCAGGAGACGGCAGCGUUACAUGUCUGAAAGGGGGAAAGACAGACAGCAGUGUGCAGCAGCCUGCAGGCCGUGUGAUGGACAACAGGUUAAAUUUGCCACCUCGAACCAAAUCUCAUCACAUGAACAGGUGGGAUGUGGAUCACGGCACCUGAUCUCCUCCUCUUCGGCACACAGCUUCCUCCUGAUUCACUAUCGACGUGUCACAGGAAUCAACGUGUAAAUCGUCUGAAGGCCGGAGGUUAACACCACGACUCAGAGAUGAUUCAUAAAUCAAGACCUUCUCCGACCAAUCAGAACGCAGAGAGAAGGAGCCUUCACAGAGCUGAAAGUAAAACCUCAAGCUGCGUUUCAAACACAUCAUAACUCAUCUUUCGAUCACAGUGCUUAUUUCCACCAUUUACAACAAAGAAAAAUUCAAUUCAGCAAAUCUGACCAAAAGGAAAAAUCCUCAUUACGUGUUUUUGUGCGUUAAUUAACAAUCAACACUGUUUAGUUAUUGUGUGUCUUUGCUGUUAUAAACUCUAUUUGGUGUUUUA